AAAACUUUCAACAACGGAUCUCUUGGUUCUGGCAUCGAUGAAGAACGCAGCGAAAUGCGAUAAGUAAUGUGAAUUGCAGAAUUCAGUGAAUCAUCGAAUCUUUGAACGCACAUUGCGCCCGCCAGUAUUCUGGCGGGCAUGCCUGUUCGAGCGUCAUUUC
rnacentral:rRNA from 2 species